AUACGUAGGGUGCGAGCGUUGUCCGGAAUUACUGGGCGUAAAGAGCUCGUAGGUGGUUUGUCGCGUCGUCUGUGAAAUUCCAGGGCUUAACUCCGGGCGUGCAGGCGAUACGGGCAUAACUUGAGUACUGUAGGGGAGACUGGAAUUCCUGGUGUAGCGGUGAAAUGCGCAGAUAUCAGGAGGAACACCGGUGGCGAAGGCGGGUCUCUGGGCAGUAACUGACGCUGAGGAGCGAAAGCAUGGGUAGCGAACAGGAUUAGAUACCCUGGUAGUCCAUGCUGUAAACGGUGGGCGCUAGGUGUAGGGGUCUUCCACGACUUCUGUGCCGUAGCUAACGCAUUAAGCGCCCCGCCUGGGGAGUACGGCCGCAAGGCUAAAACUCAAAUGAAUUGACGGGG
rnacentral:rRNA from 1 species